CCUACGGGUGGCAGCAGUAGGGAAUAUUGCUCAAUGGGGGAAACCCUGAAGCAGCAACGCCGCGUGGAGGAUGAAGGUUUUAGGAUUGUAAACUUCUUUUGUUCGAGAAGCUUAUGACGCUAUCUAAAGAAUAAGCACCGGCUAACUACGUGCCAGCAGCCGUGGUAAUACGUAGGGUGCAAGCGUUAUUCGGAAUCACUGGGCGUAAAGAGUGCGUAGGUGGGGUAAUAAGUCAGAUGUGAAAUCCUGUAGCUUAACUACAGAACUGCAUUUGAAACUGUUACUCUAGAGUGUGGGAGAGGUAGGUGGAAUUCGUGGUGUAGCGGUGAAAUGCGUAGAGAUCGAGAGGAAUACUGAUUGCGAAGGCGGCCUACUGGAACAUUACUGACGCUGAGGCACGAAAGCGUGGGGAGCAAACAGGAUUAGAUACCCUGGUAGUC
rnacentral:rRNA from 1 species